rnacentral:lncRNA from 1 species
GUGAAGUAUUUUGCUCAAGGUCGUUCAUCAAAUUAGUAGUUUAAUUAACUCAGUGUUCUAGGAAGCAGGGUAGUAGAAAAGCAUGGGAUUCGGAGUCUGAAAUCUUCCUUGGUUUCUGGUCCUUGUAGGCUGUUUUACAAGUGUAUCUUGGGCAAAUCCCUUAACGUCUUGCCAUUUAUUAAGGGCUUACUUACCACGUGGCAAACAAUCCACUUUGCAUGCUGUGUCAAUUACAUGCAGUAUGUCGUGUAGUUAUUACUGUCCCCAUUUUAUGAGGUAGUUUAGGUUUAAAGAUAUUAGAAAUUUACCCAAAGUUACGCAGUUAUAAACAUUGUAGUAAUUUCAAACUCAGGUCUUCGUGACUGCAAAGGCUGCUGUCUUAAGUAUUGUAAUACAUUAGAGCUCCGGAUUCCCUCCCACUCAAAACAGAGACUGAGACUCCAACCAAUUUCCACCAUUAUUGGGAGUCAAACGAGAGAGACUGUGGCAAUGUAUUCUAAGCUGUACAAAGGUAUAAACAUAUUCACUAGAUUUGUAGAAUGAAGUUAUUCCUUCCCUAUACUUUCCACUACAACAAUUCAGCCAAAAAGAUGGCUUUCAUACUAAGCAUAAGAAGGAACUUCACUGUAAUUAUGAUAUUCUAACCAAGAAUAUAUGCAUAUCUAGGCAAUAACCAAAGUGAAUAGAAUAAAAUUUAAUUCCUGAUAGAUUAAAUAGGCAAUAGCAAGGAAUGCUAACGCUCCUCAUAGCGUUCUUGUUGGAAGAAUCAUCUAGGAGGCAUUGGGAUUUCUGGUGCUUUUUAAGCAAUGAGAGAUAUCAGUCCACUGAAUGAGGAAGAGAAUAACGUUUAGUUUCGGACUAAAAGUUCAUCUGGACUACGGAAAACACGUUUGCCUCAAUCAGUGAAGAAGGUAUGCUGAGAGCUGAAAGAAAAGGAAAGCAGCAACAGUGAGAGCUCAGAAAUUCCCAGACUGUUUUGAUGAUAAGGUCCAAGAACUUGCCAUGUGAUCCAUCACUACUAGACUCCCACAACUGCAUUAGAUUUGUUCAGGAUUUUCAUAUAAUUUUCAUAACUGGCUAAGUUCUGAAAUAACCCAUCUUGAAGACAUAAACAAUGUGCAUUGAUGGCUAGCCAGACUCUGUCCUGCCACAGUUCUCCUCCUACUCUUCAUUUCUUACCCCAAGGAGUAGUAAACAUGAAUCCUGACCCACCAAUGCAGUCCCAGAACUGAGAAAAGAUUCACUGCAGCUAAACAGUAGGUAGAAAUAAAAACAAUGACUCAAUUCAAUAAUAUUAAGUGUGUUGGGAAGACAGUCUCCAAGAGAAACGAUAAAUAACCUACAUAAUGAAGAAUUAGUUAGCAGUGUUAUGUAAAUAUUGUAGCAGCAUCAAUGAGGAGGAUUAUUUUUGCACCUUUGGAAAGCAACUGAAAAAGGAAGCCUGGAAAAAAUCCUGCCUAACAAAGCAGCAGUACUCAAAUAGCUUUAACUAUAAGAAAGAACUGAUUCAAGAUAUGAGAAG